rnacentral:rRNA from 1 species
CUGAGGAAACUGCCAGCGAUGAGCUGGAGGAAGUGGGGAUGACGUCAAGUCAUCAUGGCCCUUACGUCCAGGGCGACACACGUGCUACAAUGGCAGCUACAGAGGGUCGCAAUACCGCGAGGUGGAGCCAAUCCCUAAAAGCUGUCUCAGUUGGGAUCGGAGUCUGCAACUCGACUCCGUGAACGCGGAAUCGCUAGUAAUCGUGGAUCAGCCAUGCCACGGUGAAUACGUUCCCGGGCCUU